UUUUAUUGGCAUUAUAAUAAUCAUCAUUUACCGUGGCCUGCUGGAGCUGCACGACAUUAGGGAAUAUCAGAACUUUGUCAAAGCACAGAAACAGACCGAAUGGAAAGAGGCCCAGAAUCCUCUUUUCAAAGGUGCCACAACUACAGUGUAUAACCCUUUGCAUGACAAAGACGCGAAAACGAAAAAAGGAACAUUUUGAACAGAUUUAAAGAUUAAUUUAAUUUAAAGAGAAAGUCUGGGAGUUUGCUAUUGUAAUAUCUUGUUUUUGCAUUUUUUGUUGUACAUCUUAAAUUGUGCCAACGAGAUUAAAAAUGAUAUUCUAAAAUAGCAAUAAAAACAUUUAAAUACAGGAUUAAAUGGUUGUUGUAAAUAUUGUGAUGUAUUUUAUGCAUAUUAAUAUAUAGGAUGAACACAAAGCCUUCUUUCUCCUAAAAAGGUUGAUAAACUGAACAACUCUACCUAAGAGAAUUGAAGAAUGUCCUUUUAUGAGAAAAAAAGUGUGUUUUUGUGAAAUUUUAAGCAGCUGUAUUGCUAACUAAAACUUCAGAGAUGUGUUUUAGUGAUAAUACAUAGCAGGUUUACAGCUUAAAUUAUUAUUAUUUUUAAACAGUGACUUCACAUUAUGUUUGAGGUAUUAACUGAACAGCUUGAUUCCAAAACCUGUAAUUGUUUUUACUUUUGCUUCAGUAAUAAAAGUGCCAUUCAAAAUUUCCC